rnacentral:rRNA from 1 species
GACGGCGGGGUAGAGGCCCGCCGCGGUAACGACGGGUAACGGGGAAUCAGGGUUCGAUUCCGGAGAGGGAGCCCGAGAAACGGCUACCAACUUCCAAGGAAGGCAGCAGGCGCGCAACUUACCCUAAUCUCGAUUCGAGGAGGUAGUGACAAGAAAUACCGAUGCGGGGACCCUACGGGUGCCGCGUUCGGAAUGAGUACGAUUCGAACCACCUAACGAGGUACGAUCGGAGGGCAAGUCUGGUGCCAGCAGCCGCGGUAAUUCCAGCUCCAAUAGCGUACGUUAAAGUUGCUGCAGUUAAAAAGCUCGUAGUUGAACGUUCGGGUUCCGCGGGACGGGGCCGCCCCGCGAGGGACGGCGCCGCCCCGGGGCUCGUGAUAUCUCAUCUCGCCGCCCGUCGCGAGGCGGACGGAGGGAUGGAUGAGGUUACCUGGAAAAAAUCGGGGGCGAUCUAGGCGGGCGAACCUCGCCAACGAACGAUCGGACAUGGGAUAACGGAAGAGGGC